rnacentral:rRNA from 1 species
GCAAAUCCGCUGAACUUAAGCAUAUUAUUAAGCGGAAGAAAAGAAAAUAACAAUGAUUCUUUUAGUAACGGCGAGUGAACAAAGAAGAGCUCAACAUGGAAAAUCCGACAGAGAGCUACCCGUGAUUUGUCGGAAUUGUCAAGUUACAAAACAUUCCACGAGAUCUUUUUUAUAAUAUGACAAUGAGAAGAAGUAGAUAGAAAUAUCUUUCCAUAGAGGGUGAAAGACCCGUAUUCUUAAUCAUAAAACUGGUCUAUUGGAAUGUUUUGUUUUGAGUCAUGUUCUUUGAGAUUGGAACAUUAAUGAGUGUGAUACAUUUCACAUAAAGCUAAAUAUUUGUAAGAAACCGAUAGUAAACAAGUACCGUGAGGGAAAGAUGAAAUAGUACUCAUGAAUGAGCAAUUAAAUAGUACCUGAAAUCGUUAAGAUGGAACGGAUUAAAAAAGGAAAAAAGUAACAACAUAAAUAUAUGAAAAGAUUUUGAUGCGCGCAAUAAAGAAUGGAGUCUUGAAAAGGAUGUUGAUAUUCAAGUAUCAGAACAAAAAUUUUUCUUUAUAUAAAAAGAAUUUUUUUGAAGCUCUUGUUAUAAAAUCCAUUUUUAUUCUUAUCCUUUUUUUUAUGGGUAAGAUAAAAAGGUUACAAGAGUUGUCUUUCAUAAAAUUUUAUGUUCUUAUUAAAAGAAACAUGAGUGAAUGAAAAUAAAUAAUCGUAAAGCAAAAUGACAGUAACAGGGGGGAAACAAAAAAAAAAUUAAAAUAAAAUAAGAAUAAAGCAAAAAAAGGUAUAAAAUAAAAGAAUUAAUUGAAUUUAUUUUCUUUUAAUUUUUUUGUUUUGUAUUGUAUUGUUUUAUUUUAUUUUUAUUAUUUUUUUUUUUUUUCUUUUUCCUUAUUGACUCUUUUUCUAAGCUAAUGUGGAAAAAUAUAACUUGCUUUUUUUUUUUUUUUUUCUUUUAUGAAGGGGGGAAAAAAGAAAAAUAUAUAAGAUACAUUUAUUUAAUUUACUGAGGUAUUGUGAAAAUUAUAUUGUGCAUAUUUUGAAUAAUAUAAAUUUAAGAUGUUUUUAUAAAGUACUUUUUUAACCCACUCGUCUUGAAACACGGACCAAGGAGUCUAACAAAUGUGCAAGUGUAUAUGUUAAGAAUAAACAUAUUAUAAAAUUUUAUACGCAUAAUUAAUGUAACAUAUAUAUAAUAUAUGUAUUAUAUUAUAUUUGUAGAUUUGUUGGGAAUAUUAUAAUUCGCAGUAAUGCAUACAAUACCGAUAAGCAAUUUAAUAUUUUAAGUUUAUUUGAGUAAGAGCAUACUUGUUAGGACCCGAGAGGCUUUGAACUAAACGUGAUGAGAUUGAAGUCAGAUGAAAAUCUGAUGGAGGAUCGAGUUGAUACUGACGUGCAAAUCGUUCACUUCAAUUGCGUUUAGGGGCGAAAGACUAAUCGAAAAGCCUAUUAGCUGGUUAUUUUCGAAAGAUCUCUUAGGAUCGCUGGAGUUGAUUUAAAUAUAGUUUUACCUGGUAGAAAUAAUGAUUGUGGGUUUCAAGGAAAUGAUAAUUCCUUGACUUAUAUAUCCAAGUAAUUCAAUAGGUAAAAAAAUGUUGAAAUAGCUUUAUUGUAUUUUUCUCAUAUUUUAAAUAAGAUAACUCCAAGUUGGCCAUUUUUGGUAAGCAGAACUGGCGAUGAGGGAUGCUCCUAACGCUUGGAUAAGGUGCCUAAAUAUUCGCUCAUUAGAUACCAUUAUAAAGGUGUUGGUUUGUAAUUACAGUAGGACGGUAGUCAUAGAAGCUGAAAUCCGCUAAGAAGUGUGUAACAACUUACCUACCGAAUGAACUCGCCCUGAAAAUGGAUGGCGCUAAAGCGGAUUACCGAUACCAAGCCAUAAAAAAGAAAAAAGAAAAAAAAAAAAUUCAAUAUUUUUUUUUUUUUUUUUUUAGAUACUUUUUAUGAGUAGAAAAUCGUGGGGUAUUGUGCUGAAGCGAAAUACGUGAGUUUUCGUGGAACAUCUCCCUAGUGCAGAUCUUGGUGGAAGUAGCAAAUAUUCAAAUGAAAACUUUGAAGACUGAAGUGGAGAAGGGUUUUUUGUCAACUAUGUUUGAGCAAAAGUUAGCCGUUCCUAAGAGAUAGCUAAAAAGCGUUAUAAAUUGAGGUUGACCUAUUAUAUGAAAAGUAUAAUAGUGUUUUUUCUCUUCUCAAAAGGGAAGCAGGUUGAUAUUCCUGCGCCAGAAGUAAUAAGAACUAAUAAAUAGAGAUGGUAACAUAUAUAUAUAAAUGAACUCCUUAACAUAGGUCUUACGCUUGGAGUGCGUUAUCUUUGCACUUUAACUUUAUAUCAAACCUUGGAAUUCAAUUUACUUGUAGAAAAGGUUGGAUGAAUUUACAAUAAACAAAUUAUUUAUUAUAUCCGUGGACCGGUACACAUGAUAUAUAAAUUUUUUUGUUUUGUAGAAAUAGUAAUUCUUUUUGUUGUAUGAAUUAUCCAAAGUGGUAAGGACUAUCCAUGAAAAAAGGAGGGAACACCAAAUUAAAUGGGAAUGUAAAAUACUAUAUAAAUAUGAUAGGAAGAGUAAAAAGAAAGGAUAGGAAAAAAAUAUUAACCUUCAACUUUUUUUUCUAUUUUUUUUUUUUAUUAUUUCUUUCAUAUUUUUAUAGUGUUUUACAUUUUAACCAUUUUUUUUUAAUUUUCUUAUGUACAAUUAUGAACGUACCAAUAACCGCAUCAGGUCUCCAAGGUUAGUAGCCUCUGGUUAAAUAGAAAAACGUAGGUAAGGGAAGUAAGCAAAUUAGAUCCGUAACUUCGGGAAAAGGAUUGGCUCUGAGGACAUUAGAAAAGAGAAGAAAAAAAAAGAGGGUUGAAAAUAAAAUUGCAGAGUUGUUUGCUUAUCUUUUUUGAUUUGCUUGCAAUUCGAUUUUUUUCUUUUUCUUCUUUGUUUUUUUUUUUUUUCUAUUUCUCUUUUCACCUACAUUUUAUUGUAAUUUUUAUUACUUUAAUUUGAUGCUUAUAAAUGUUAACUCAGAACUG